AAAACAUCGCCUCUUGCAACGCAACCAAGUAUAAGAGGUCCAGCCUGCCCAGUGACUACAAGUUUAACGGCCGCGGUAUUUUGACCGUGCAAAGGUAGCGCAAUCACUUGUCUUUUAAAUGGAGACCUGUAUGAAUGGCUAAACGAGGGCUUAACUGUCUCCCUUUUCAAGUCAGUGAAAUUGAUCUAUCCGUGCAGAAGCGGGUAUAAUAAUACAAGACGAGAAGACCCUUUGGAGCUUAAGGUACAAAACUCAACCGCGUUAAACAACUCAAUAAAAAGCAAAAACCUUGCGGAACAUGAAAUUUUACCUUCGGUUGGGGCGACCACGGAGGAAAAAGAAGCCUCCAAGUGGACUGGGAUACCUCCUAAAACCAAGAGAGACACCUCUAAGCCACAGAAUAUCUGACCAAACAUGAUCCGGCCACCAAGACCGAUCAACGAACCAAGUUACCCUAGGGAUAACAGCGCAAUCCUCUCCCAGAGUCCAUAUCGACGAGAGGGUUUACGACCUCGAUGUUGGAUCAGGACAUCCUAAUGGUGCAGCCGCUAUUAAGGGUUCGUUUGUUCAACGAUUAAAGUCCUACGUGA
rnacentral:rRNA from 1 species